AGAGUUUGAUCCUGGCUCAGAUUGAACGCUGGCGGCAGGCCUAACACAUGCAAGUCGAGCGGUAGAGAGAAGCUUGCUUCUCUUGAGAGCGGCGGACGGGUGAGUAAUGCCUAGGAAUCUGCCUGGUAGUGGGGGAUAACGUUCGGAAACGGACGCUAAUACCGCAUACGUCCUACGGGAGAAAGCAGGAGACCUUCGGGCCUUGCGCUAUCAGAUGAGCCUAGGUCGGAUUAGCUAGUUGGUGGGGUAAUGGCUCACCAAGGCGACGAUCCGUAACUGGUCUGAGAGGAUGAUCAGUCACACUGGAACUGAGACACGGUCCAGACUCCUACGGGAGGCAGCAGUGGGGAAUAUUGGACAAUGGGCGAAAGCCUGAUCCAGCCAUGCCGCGUGUGUGAAGAAGGUCUUCGGAUUGUAAAGCACUUUAAGUUGGGAGGAAGGGCAGUAAAUUAAUACUUUGCUGUUUUGACGUUACCGACAGAAUAAGCACCGGCUAACUCUGUGCCAGCAGCCGCGGUAAUACAGAGGGUGCAAGCGUUAAUCGGAAUUACUGGGCGUAAAGCGCGCGUAGGUGGUUAGUUAAGUUGGAUGUGAAAUCCCCGGGCUCAACCUGGGAACUGCA
rnacentral:rRNA from 1 species